rnacentral:rRNA from 1 species
AACGAACGCUGGCGGCAGGCCUAACACAUGCAAGUCGAACGCUGUAGCAAGACAGAGUGGCAGACGGGUGAGUAACGCGUGGGAACGUGCCUUUCGGUUCGGAAUAACUCAGGGCAACUUGAGCUAAUACCGGAUACGCCCUUCGGGGGAAAGAUUUAUUGCCGAAAGAUCGGCACGCGUCCGAUUAGCUAGUUGUUGUGGUAAUGGCGCACCAAGGCGACGAUCGGUAGCUGGUCUGAGAGGAUGAUCAGCCACACUGGGACUGAGACACGGCCCAGACUCCUACGGGAGGCAGCAGUGGGGAAUAUUGGACAAUGGGCGCAAGCCUGAUCCAGCCAUGCCGCGUGAGUGAUGAAGGCCCUAGGGUUGUAAAGCUCUUUCGCCAGGGACGAUAAUGACGGUACCUGGAUAAGAAGCCCCGGCUAACUUCGUGCCAGCCGCCGCGGUAAGAC